GUAUCCUGAGGACGAGCGUGCACAUUCGAGGCAGGGGGGCUACGACCCUUCUACAUACCAGUUCUAGUAGCUUAGCGGGUUCGGUGGUUUCCCCAGGGACGUCCCGGCAUUCUGACAGACCUUCACCUAUGUAGGGUCGCCUACGGGCGCACUAUUGUCGUAACAUUUAUUUUUGGGCUGCUGUAGGCCUUAGGCUCUGAAUUCAGUGUUUUAUUUACACUAGCACAUAUCCUAUUACUCUAUAUUUGCUAGUUUUAAAUUAUUCGCACUUUUAUAUUA